rnacentral:lncRNA from 10 species
GGUGGAGUGAGGGCGGACCGGCCCUGGUGGGGGCCGCAGUCGAGGUCCGCAGUCUCCUCGGGGUCGAAAUCGGGCAUCAGCGCCGUUUAGAGAACACCGUCCUGCUGGGCAUGGCCGGGAUGCGAAGAUGGCCCUGCAACGCACCUCCUAGAAUUUGGUUACCUAGAAAACCAUGUGGAAUAAAACGACGAGGCUUAUGAUAUUUAAAAGACUUCUGCAUCGAAUUGGUGUUAUCAUAAGGGUUAUUUUAAUAACUGGCAUUCUCUAAGUUUCUACACGUGUUGGGGGAUGCAGUGCCGUGCCACAUUUCCCGUCUCCAGCAAGCGCAGUCAGAUUGGCGACAUCGCAGGCAAGAGGCAGGGCUGGGGCUCCCACCCGAGAAGUAAUUGUCUCCAAAGUUGGACUUUUGCCACUGGUUCUGCGACUUCAUGCAAUGCCAGGGAGAGCCCCUUGAUUUCCCCCAAAUCCUCAUCAGCCUCUUUCCACCCAAGCCCAGAUGAACAGUACUCAUCUACUCACCUGAGGAUUAUGAGGAUUAUGAGUUUUAUGGAGCAAAAUUUGCCUAGAACAGGUUGUCAGCUUCUGUGGACACAGUCUUCUACCCUCAGAAAUCCCAUUGGAAGAAAGAACAAAUGAAGCAUCCCAAGGACUGGAGGAUUCUCUUCCCCCAGGGUAUUCAAGGAAGACACUGGGGAACAAAUUGAACAAAGUUUAUUUCAUCAACAAUGAAAAAUGCCCAGAAGGAAAUGAAGCACAAGAUUCAGUUACACAAAGAUGAAAGCUAUUGACCACUUGGCCACUUCUCAUACUAAAAGAGAAGGAAAUAACACGAAGUACUGGAAGUGACAUUAUAUUGUCCUCAUGGUGACAACCAGGAUGGGCCUGACAUAAGCCAGUCCAGGCUGUAUGUGUGGCCCGAGUGCACACAUGCGGUUUCUCUGGCCACCGAAUCAGAACCAGCUGGGCCCCACAAGUCAGUCUCUGGGGGCUGUGAUUCUGCAUUGCAAACAAGUCCUUGGGUAGCUCUCAGGGUUCACCAAGAUUUGAGAACCACUAGUGUGGCUGACUCCAGUGAAACAGUCCCACUUUUACUGCUUUCAACUGUCAUUUAUAUAGAUUCAGGCAAAGAAUGGUUUUUAGAAUGAUGCCCGAUGUAGCAAAUAAAAUGAUCUCAACAUAUA